GUUGGGUGUGUAAGCGCUGUGAGGCGUUGAGCUAACCAAUACUAAUUGCCCGUGAGGCUUGACCAU
rnacentral:rRNA from 1 species